rnacentral:rRNA from 1 species
GCGGCACGCCUAACACAUGCAAGUCGAACGAAGUAGCAAUACUUAGUGGCAGACGGGUGAGUAACAUGUGGGUAUCUACCCUUUGGCCUGGAAUAACACGAGGAAACUUGUGCUAAUACCGGAUAAGUCUUUACAGAGAAAGCUUUAUGCACCAAUGGAUGAGCCUGCACUUGAUUAGUUUGUUGGUAGGGUAAUGGCCUACCAAGACUGUUAUCAAUAGCUGAUUUGAGAGGAUGAUCAGCCACAUUGGGACUGAGACACGGCCCAAACUCCUACGGGAGGCAGCAGUGGGGAAUCUUGCACAAUGGAGGAAACUCUGAUGCAGCGAUGCCGCGUGAGUGAAGAAGGCCUUUGGGUUGUAAAGCUCUUUCGUCGGGGAAGAAAAUGACUGUACCCGAAUAAGAAGGUCCGGCUAACUUCGUGCCAGCAGCCGCGGUAAUACGAAGGGACCUAGCGUAGUUCGGAAUUACUGGGCUUAAAGAGUUCGUAGGUGGUUGAAAAAGUUGGUGGUGAAAUCCCAGAGCUUAACUCUGGAACUGCCAUCAAAACUUUUCAGCUAGAGUUUGAUAGAGGAAAGUAGAAUUUCUAGUGUAGAGGUGAAAUUCGUAGAUAUUAGAAAGAAUACCAAUUGCGAAGGCAGCUUUCUGGAUCAAUACUGACACUGAGGAACGAAAGCAUGGGUAGCGAAGAGGAUUAGAUACCCUCGUAGUCCAUGCCGUAAACGAUGUGUGUUAGACGUUGGAAAUUUAUUUUCAGUGUCGCAGUGAAAGCGAUAAACACACCG